CCUGAUUUAGCGGCGGACGGGUGAGUAAUGUAUAGGGAGCUGCCCGAUAGAGGGGGAUACCAGUUGGAAACGACUGUUAAUACCGCAUAAUGUCUACGGACCAAAGUGUGGGACCUUCGGGCCACAUGCUAUCGGAUGCACCUAUAUGGGAUUAGCUAGUUGGUGGGGUAACGGCUCACCAAGGCGACGAUCCCUAGCUGGUUUGAGAGGAUGAUCAGCCACACUGGAACUGAGACACGGUCCAGACUCC
rnacentral:rRNA from 1 species